CAGUCGCCGCGGUAAUACGAAGGGUGCAAGCGUUACUCGGAAUUACUGGGCGUAAAGCGUGCGUAGGUGGUGGUUUAAGUCCGUCGUGAAAGCCCUGGGCUCAACCUGGGAAUUGCAGUGGAUACUGGGUCACUAGAGUGUGGUAGAGGAUAGUGGAAUUUCCGGUGUAGCAGUGAAAUGCGUAGAGAUCGGAAGGAACAUCUGUGGCGAAGGCGACUAUCUGGGCCAACACUGACACUGAGGCACGAAAGCGUGGGGAGCAAACAGGAUUAGAUACCCCUGUAGUCCCUGUCUCUUAUAC
rnacentral:rRNA from 1 species